rnacentral:rRNA from 1 species
UACGAAGGGGGCUAGCGUUGUUCGGAUUUACUGGGCGUAAAGCGCACGUAGGCGGAUCGUUAAGUCGAGGGUGAAAUCCUGGAGCUCAACUCCAGAACUGCCUUCGAUACUGGCGAUCUCGAGUCCGGAAGAGGUGAGUGGAACUCCUAGUGUAGAGGUGGAAUUCGUAGAUAUUAGGAAGAACACCAGUGGCGAAGGCGGCUCACUGGUCCGGUACUGACGCUGAGGUGCGAAAAGCGUGGGGAGCAAACAGG